CAAGCCCGGACCCACAAUUUCCAGGACGAAAGCAGGCCGCGUCCCGGGGAGCCCAGCGCGCCAGCUGGUGAAGAGGCAGGAGCCCCCGGGACUUGGCUGCCCUCUCCAAAGGCAGCUCCUAACGCGGCCGCCGCGGCCACGCUGACCUCUGAUCCGAAGCUGGCUGGGAAGGGCCCGCGGGGAAGGAGCAGCAGAGGCGCGCGAGGUAAGUACUCACCGGAAGAAGUCGUUUUUGCAGUAGAGCUUGCCUUCCCGGGAGAAGCACUUCUCGGUCAGGUUGCAUUUACAUUCACAGCACUGGACGCACUUGACAUGCCAGGCCCUGUCCAGCACGUUCAAGAGGAAGCGGUCCAGGAUGGGCCUUUUGCAGCCGGCACAGUGCACCAUGGUCUUUGGUUUGGUCGGGUGAGGCCCGGAGAGAGAAGCGCAGGUAGAGCCGAGGGGAUGAUUCACCAAGACGACCGGCAGGAACUCCCCAGCCCCUCCAAAAUGGGGAGAGACACUUGGCAGUGCAAACCGAAACCCGCGCCGGAAAAUCAGAGAGAGGGAGGAGGCUGAUGGGGGUCGGGGGGCGCCUCGGUGGAGUGUGCAGCCCGACAGUCCCGGGGCCCCGGGGCACAGCAGCGCCGCCGCCGCUCCUGGGGCGAGGAAAGAGUCUCAGGCGGGCGAGAAAGCGACUCUUCUGCCCAGAGCCCGCGAAGGAGUGAAGGUCACCGAGAACGGCGACGGGAACGGAAAUAAAUAAAUAAAACGGAGUCGGAGAAGGAAGAGGACGACACGGCGAGCUCGGCUUGCAGGGAAAGCGCCGCUGAGUUCUCUCGGGCUUGAGGUUUCCCCCCUUCUGGAGAAGUGUUUGUGUCAAUCGAGAGUGAGAGGGACAACUCCGGGCGGACGCAGCCAGGUGCGCGCGCCCGCUCCCCACCGCCCCAGCCCCGUCACCUCGGCCCGUGGCCUGCCUGGCGGCCUCCGUCUCCUCGGGACGGCCCUCCCUGCGCCUGGACUCCUUCGGGGAGGGGGUGCCGUCUGGCUCCUCACCGCGCCUGGCCGUGCAUCGUGGCUCCAGUAGCAACUCGCGGCCGCCUGGGCGCGCAGCCCCACAUCGCUCGGCCCACGCUCCAGCUGCCUGCGUGCAACCCCACAGUCUCUCGACUUUUCUUUUCCUUUUCCCCUCUUUUUUCGUUGUGAUGGCAAAUCUGGGUUUCCUUUCUAGCCUCUUUCCUUCCUUCCUUUUUUGUUUUUUUUUUCUUUUCUUUUGCAGCGGGAGGAGUCGGGGGGAGGGGAGUAGCUUGAAGAGCUUUUUAAAAAACGUCCUGGUGCAGCGGCUACAGUUCUGUGCGGCUGGAACAGCUCGGCACGGGCCGCCGCUCUCGCCUUCCGGGCCGCAAUUCGUUGUAGGCUGUCCCCGGACAAGCGUCCCUCUGUCCCUGGUCUCCUGGCCCAGUCCGCCGCCCCGGCGCGUCUCUCCCCAGUUCCGGCGGCUCGGUCACUGCUCCUGGCUGUUGGCUGGGCUCUGGAAGCCCCCUCGCCUUAAUGCAGCGCCCGCCGACGUCACGGCGGCCUGCGACCAAUCAGCGGCUCGCGGUCCCUCUGUAAACCAUUCUGCAUCCCCCGGCUGGGGAGAGUGCCGGGAGACCGCGUUUAGAGGAUCAGUGGCGGCGGCAACCGCGGCCCGGCGCUGUGCGGGCGGCGGGCAGCGAGGUGCCCGGGUCCCCUGCUGCUCCGGAGCCAGCCCACAGCAUCAGGCUCUGGAGACUUCAGCGUGUGAAGAUGAUACAGUACUCUUUGGUGCUGGCACUGAAGCAGAUAAGGCAGUUGAAGCUCAGAGAGGGGCGCUGGGUUGCCCAAGGUCACACAGCAAUUUGGUGAGUUUCCUGGGCACCUACGACUCCUGGUUUGCAGGCAACAUUCUUGUCCUUGAAAACGGAGGAUUCACCCCGCUCUGUCCCCAGCUUCUUCAGCGUCUUCACCCAGCCUUCUUAGUGGCAGCCUCCUCCCGCUAGAGCUCUCAGUCCGGGGCACGGCUUUGAAGGAAGAUUGCUAAGCCUGCUAAAUCCUAAUGCGCACCAACGUCGUCUCCCUAUUCAUCCGGAAACCUGAAUCUCAGGCCUCACUUCUCCAGGAGCCUUCCCAGGCCCCCGCCCUGUCCUCACUUUACUCCAGAAGGAGUUACCUUCGCUUUUGCACCAUGAGUGUGUCUCCACUGUUGAAUUUACACUCUGGCAACUUAUUGGCACUGUGUCUGUCCGCACGACUGCACUGUGAACUAUUCAUCUCUUCCUGGCGAUCUGGAUCUGCUCAAUAA